ensembl:misc_RNA Metazoa_SRP Metazoan signal recognition particle RNA
GCCAGGCAUGGUGGCACAUGCCUGUAGUCCCAGCUACUUAGGAGGCUAAGGCAGGAGAAUCACUUGAGCCCAGGAGGUUAAGCCUGCAGUGAGCUAUGAUUGGACCACUGUACUCCAGCCUGGGCAACAAAGUGAGACCCUGUCUCUU